rnacentral:rRNA from 1 species
AGAGUUUGAUCCUGGCUCAGGAUGAACGCUAGCUACAGGCUUAACACAUGCAAGUCGAGGGGCAGCAUCAUCAAAGCUUGCUUUGAUGGAUGGCGACCGGCGCACGGGUGAGUAACACGUAUCCAACCUGCCGACAACACUGGGAUAGCCUUUCGAAAGAAAGAUUAAUACCGGAUGGUAUAGUUUUCCCGCAUGGGAUGAUUAUUAAAGAAUUUCGGUUGUCGAUGGGGAUGCGUUCCAUUAGGCAGUUGGCGGGUAACGGCCCACAAACCUACGAUGGAUAGGGGUUCUGAGAGGAAGGUCCCCCACAUUGGAACUGAGACACGGUCCAAAUCCAACGGGAGCA